GCCCGAGUCCGGUCUGCAUCAACUUUUCUCUUCUAAAUACUUGUGGAAAUUUUCAUUGCAAUUUUCAUCCACGCACUUUACACAAAGAGGUACAAAUUUUUAGGCAAGGUUUACACCGCUGGGAAAAAGUUUGGAAAAAAAAUAAAUUAGUAGUUGUUCUUUACCCAAUUUAAUCGCCCAUCUCAACUUCCCCAACUGUUAGUUAAGUACGACGACGACACGGGUUGACACUUCUCGUUGUGAUAAUCUCUCCAGAGGAUAAUUUGAUAAUAUUGUUUGUUUUCGCAUAAAUGAAACCACAUCGUUAAUUAUUAUUACUGUCUGCUGUGUGUUCUGUUCUACAAAAACUUUGCCAAAUUGGACUAGUUGUUGUCAAUGUGAAAUUAAGUCUGUCAGGUACAUACGUAAGGUAGACUAUUAUUAUUCCGAGCCACAUACGCCCGCAUCCGUCGUCAUAACCAUCAUUAUCAUAUGGCCCAGAGGAGCAAGAGAAACUAGACGACUUAAUUAACUCUAAAUGUGUUAAUGACUCGAUUUGAUUCGGAGAAUUUAAACCUUUCCAAGAACUUGUCAGCACGGAGGCUUCGGCAGCGUCGUAAUUUCUGCAAGACGAGAGACAACAACCAACCAAAGGCCUCUUCUGAUCCUCAACCUCGUGGUUCCUGAACUUGACUCGAAGUACUUACAACAAGACAACAGACGAAGAAGAACCCGUGUUUGGUUCGUUCGUGCGUGCUGAGACGUACUUCAAUUUGUGAAGUAGAUCCGACCAACUCGAAUAACAUUAUAAUUGAAUUUGAAGAUUUAAACGAUUUUCAGCCUCGAGAGCUCGUUCCGUAGGAUUAUUAUUAUUAUUACAUGAACAUAAAUAAUAAGAUUUGUGGUGUAGUGACGCAUUGUAAUAUGAUCAAGGAAUACAUAACUUGUGACUCAGAGUGCUAAGAAAUACAUAUUAUUGGUGAAUUCCAUUCUUCUUCUGGGGAAAGUUGUACGCUUUCAAAAGAUUUCAGGAAAUCCGACCACGUGACAACACUGACUUGUAGCAGCCGUGUCGUUCGUUAUGCAUAGCUUUUUACUGUGUGAGACCCGUGAAAGCAUACAUAAAGAGAUUUAGACAGCCAAAUAAAUAAGAUUCGGAGAUUAAAUAUAAAAAAGAUACAAUUUAUUUAUGUGGGAACUUUGUGAAUCCGGAUUUAUGAAUGUCUUUGUAAACUCUGACAAGAACUUGAUCUCAAUCUUGGUCUCAAAUUUCAAAUAGAGUUUGCAAAACCAACGGACGAGCACCACAUUGUAAAUUUUCUUGUGAGAAAGAGAUUUUGUUAUAAAAUCAUCUCGACACCAAGACCACCACCACCCGAAAAAGGAAAGCAGACACGUAAUCUCACCGGAGCUGGAGGAUACAACAACUCCAACUCGUCAUACUUCUACUUCUGGAGAAGACGAAGAUGAGAUUCGUCCGUCAUACAUGAACCUUUUCGGAUGAUGUGAUAUGAUAUGAUUACUCAUGUCAUUACAAAGUGAUGAGACUGACACUCGAGAAACCGGAAUUGAGCAUAAAAUCAUCAUCCCGCUUCAUCAUAACAUUAUUUCACACAACUCUGACUCCUCCACAUCCCAAGUUGAUUAAAGUGAAGUGGAAUUUGUGGCUAUAAUUUAAAAUUUAUAUUAUCCCCAGUGUAUAUAUGUAUGCACUGCAUAUUGGCUAAGUUCCAUUCACCAGCAAAAUAAACUUCAGGGCAGAUACCUAAAACUUGAGUAUGUUUUUUGGUACAUGUGAUUAAGCCAGGCCACCCCAUUACAUGCACAACUCUUCUUCUUCCUCGGAUGGGAUUUAUGUCCAAUCCGGUUUGGUUUAGAAUCCACUUUGUAAGGACGGAUGGAUGGCGUAGAACACGGUGAAAGUCAAGUCUCCAAAGUGAAUUCUUCUCAACUCGUGUAACAGACUUUUGCAAACCAAGUACCAACUCGACCUCACUUCCAAACCAAACCACUAAAUGAAGGUGGAAAGCUGCUGACAUUAAAAACCUACGAGUCGUCUCGUGUCUAUGCACUUUCUGUGCUCAGACGUGUGUUAUUAUGUAUGCUCCUCAUUCCACUACAUUAUGUAAUGCGGGAAAUAUACUUUGCAAUUUGUAAUUCCGCACUAUCACCAGCAGCAGAAGAUUGAAGUAAUUUAAGACACGUUUUUAAAUUCAGGUCACAACCAACCAAGCCAAGACUUUUGCAAAAAUUACAAGCUCCUAACUCACUCUGAAGAAAUAGUGCACUCGAAAAAAAUAAGCAUUCCUCUACAAAGUUGUUGAAGUGGAGUGUACAAAUACCUACGGUGUACUCUUGGGAUUGACCACUUUAUUUUAGCUGUGAGAUUUAUUACUGUCGAAAUCAACGACAUUCCUGGAAAAAAUCUAAUUGCAUUAUUGAUGAUGAAGUUGAAAUCAGGGUGGUAGAAAAAAAUAAGAAAGUACUCACUCAAUCAGUGACUAUUUUGCUGCACAGACGACUCUGACUUUAUAUUCCGUGUCACGUCUGAAAUUUAACUUUUAAAAGGACUCAAUCACUCAAUUUCAAUUGAAAAAGGAGAGACACUUGGAAGAAAAGGGUUUAAUGAUGGAUUCGAAUGAGAUGGGAUACCACUUUGGGAGCGAAGGUCACCCAAACCUCGACAAUUUUACCCUUGGCGGACCCGACAUUAUAAAUCUCACCGGAGUUUCACUCGGUGACGCUGAUUUUGUGGAAGAUGGAGCAAUUUCCUGGGAAGAGUCGUUCCGUGACCUGUCCAGAUUUUGGGUUCAACGCGUCCUCGUCCCCAUCGUGGUGAUUGUCGGAGUGCUGGGAAAUCUCGUGACGAUUUACAUCCUCACCCGGAGACCGAUGAGAUCCUCGACUAAUGUAUAUUUGUGCGCCCUGGCCGUCUCUGAUCUGAUGUUUCUCCUCUUCUCCUUCUCCAUGUCGUGGCGAUUUUAUCCGGGAGUGGAAACUAUUUGGAUGUACUUUUGGUACCUACCCUUCGGUUUCUGGUUAACCGACGCUGCUAGCUCAACGUCCGUUUGGCUCACAGUCAGCUUUACCAUUGAACGAUAUAUUGCCGUGUGUUUCCCCCUGCGUGGAAAGUGGUGGAUUUUUGACUUGAAGGUCCUUUGUACGGAGGAGAGAGCGGUGAAAGUGGCGAUUGGUGUGUACUUGAUCUGUUUUGCGGUCACUUCUCCAACCCCUUUCGAAUGGACGGCUGCCACCGUGGCGAACAGUACGAAUUCCUUCAACGAAACGAUCUAUAGACUGGAACCGACCGAAUUUGGGAAAAAUGAGAUGUAUCGAUUGAUUUAUCACUGGUUUUCAUCCAUAUUCUUCAUCUUCUUACCUGUCGUGAUUUUGGCGAUUUUCAACUUUUUCCUCAUUCAAGCCGUCAGACACUCGAGAGAUUUGAGGAAGACGAUGACCGAUCAACACCAAAAUUCGUCCGUCCGUCACAUCCAGGCAAUUCGACAAGAAAACAGGAUAACCAUCAUUCUCAUCUCGGUUGUAAUAGUAUUUCUUGUUUGUCAAUCUCCUACUGCAAUCGUACUUAUCUACACCUCGAUAAAGUUGGUUGACUAUUCGUCUUCGGAAGGAUUUUUACUUUUAGGCUUAGGAAACAUUUUUAACCUCUUAGUUGCCAUCAACGCGUCCAUCAACUUUCUCCUCUACACUGCUUUGUCUGACAAGUAUCGGAAAUAUUUCCUGGCUUUCUUCCCCUGCUUGCGAAAGUCCAGGAUGGGUCGGCAAACCAAUCAUGUGAACAACUUUGACGGCAAUCCAUACGAGAUGGACACGAUGAACACGACGUUGAGAAUUGACCUAACUUUGCGUGAUUUUUCUAUUUCAAUCGCUCCUCCCUUUGCCAAAUGAAUCCUACCACAACCAUCGAAAAAAUCUGCCUCUUCUUCUCCACCUCUGUCAUCCACGUUCCGUCAUGUCGUUCGUGAUGAAGGCCUUACAUUGGACUUCAAGAUGCUGCCGUAAGUUGACGUUGAUUGUUGGUGUUGACACUGUUGAAAAUUGACAUGCUCCAGAAAUCCAAACCAUUCACCUCCUCCACCACCACUCACUUUCUCCUCCUGAAUCACACCUCUGCUGCCGUUUUGUGCUGACGUUGACUAAAAUUAUCCCUGUUCAACUACCUCUCAUUAUUUUAGUAGUAAAGUAAAAGCAGAAUCCAAUGCCUGUGCUCAAAAGUUAUAUAAAGUACAAUACCAUCACCACUAUCACCACCACUACAAAUUCCUAUUUACAUAUAUUCAAAUCCUUAUCGCCGUGUUCAUAGCACUAACUUUAUUGGCACUCCCUGUACAAAUUAUGCGUAAUCUAUCAUUCCCUGGUCUUGAAUUGACGUACGUAUCACCACUACCACCACCAUCACAAACACCGGCCAAGUCUCCUAGCGAACAGCCUCCAUUACUCUGUAAUCCAUACAUUCGUAAUAUUUCUCUUCUUUCCCUCUCGUAGCAUAUUAAUAACUUUUUAAAAUAGUAUUUUUUUAGAAAUCUUUUUAGAGGAUACAAAAGUACUGCAAAAAGUUCCUCGCUUUUUUAAUCUGCUUAUGUACUUACUUACCAUAUUUACUUACCAUAUUUACUCUUAACACAAUAAUACACUUGUGGUGCAAAAACAGUGAAUGCAAAAUAUAAUUGGAAAUGGAAUAAUAUCAAUAACAUUAGAGUGCAUAUCAGAGAUUCGUGUAGUGGAAUACUGAAUAAUAAUUGUAGCAUGACACCGAACUCGAGGGUUCGUAAGAGUGUUUUGAAUUUAUGAGAUUGCCUUCACCUCGUACUAAUGAUGAUAAGUUGAUGCCUAACCCCGAAACAAAGACGGGUUGGAUAAUUCAUUAAAAUAAUAAUGAGUAUUGUCUUUAGAAUUGCGGAAUGUUGUUCUUACUCUCCUUUUCUCCCGUUAUAUCAUCGCUUUUGUAUGCAUGUAAGUUGUAACGCUGUGGUUACGUCUUGGCUUUCGUGUGCUUAAAUGAUGGUGUGAUUAAGCUGUAUGAAAAUAUGUACUCGGGUAUGAGAAGAGGAUAAACUUUCACUUUCUUAGAUCUUAACGAAUCUGCACUAUUUGUAAAUACGCAUCAGCACGGACAAAGCUUUUUCACAAUAAUAUCGGUAUGACUGUAAUACGAAUUAACAGUUACAGGAAAAUGCUACUAAAAAACGUAUUUAUUCACUGCAUUUGCACUCUGUUAAAGAAAAUAUUUACACAUUUUAUACGAUUAGAAAUAAAAUAUUAGCUGUUUCUAAAAUUAUCUAUUCAGCUAUACAUUUCUUUGCGUGACUUUUGACAUAUUCUAUCCAUUCAUUGCUUCUGCACUCAUUUAGUUAAAAGAUGGAAUUUUAAAGUCCACUUUUUAGGAAUAAAUUCUGUAGUUUGCAGAAGCGGAAGAUUAAAGCGUGCUCAGUUUUAAAGUAAUAAUUUGAACUCGUUAAUUACAGCUUGUCGAGAGGAGCUUCGCUAUACAGCUCGGCAAGGAAUAGUCCCUACCUCGGACGGGAUGGGGGCUCUCACGUCAACAAUGCCGCCCUUCGACGGGCCGCCACGUCGCCGAGAUCACCAAUGUCCAACA